UACAGAGGGGGCGAGCGUUGUUCGGAAUUACUGGGCGUAAAGGGCGCGUAGGCGGCCAACUAAGUCAGACGUGAAAUCCCUCGGCUCAACCGGGGAACUGCGUCUGAUACUGGAUGGCUUGAAUUCGGGAGAGGGAUGCGGAAUUCCAGGUGUAGCGGUGAAAUGCGUAGAUAUCUGGAGGAACACCAAUAGCGAAGGCAGCUCGCUGGGACGGUACUGACGCUAAGGCGCGAAAGCGUGGGGAGCGAACAGG
rnacentral:rRNA from 1 species